rnacentral:lncRNA from 1 species
CAUUUUCUGUCACAGGAAAUCUGGUGUUGAGGAACUUUUGCUUUCUCUCCCUUCCUAGGUGGAGGAUAAAGGGAAAUUGAAAUGUCAGAUUAUCCACUCGUGACACGGUCAGCUUCAGACAGAGGAGAAGCUCUUGUCCUUCAAACCAACCUCUCUCCAAUCAGCCACUGAUUACCAUCAUCUACACCAGGCUGCCUGGCCUCAUUGAGGCCAGUUAGAGGUGGAACUGCAUGAACCAACCUCAGAGGCCACACUUUUUUUAUUUAAGGAGCUCUGAAGAUAACUCUGUGCCCUGUACACUCAUGUUAAUCCAGUAAAUUUAGUAAAUGUGUUUAGCUAAAAGAAAAUGAUAAUAUCUUAAAGAUAGCAUUGAGUAUGAUUUGGGGGAAGGAUUUGGUCUAUUGAGG